rnacentral:lncRNA from 10 species
GACUGAGAAUGGGAAAGGCAGAGGGGUAUGCAAAAGGAGGACACAGUAGGGCUAUCAGAUGUUGGCGCCCAAGGGCCCAAGGUGGGAAAGCAGGCUGGAGCUCCAGAGCUAGAAGACAGCUCAGGGAGCGAUGCCCGCCACUCACUCACACAAGCAUUAUUUACAAAGCAUUCUCAUGCACACUUUCUCAAGACCCUCAGCAGGUUCGCGAGGGAGACAUUACUUCUCUUUUUCACAGAUGUGAGAACUGAGGCCCAGAUAUGGUCAGCCACCUGCUCAGAGUCACACAGGACCAGAACAGGCCUCCUGACUUCGGUCUGGAGCCUUCCGGCUGGUCUGGUUGAAAUGCGACCCACAGACAUGACAGGAAACCAGGGGUGAGAAAGAGGCUCCCACUGAAUUGCACACACAGGCGGAGAAAAAGUUUGCUGACCCUAGAGAGGUAAGAUGAUAAAGAAUGGAGAGGCAGCCUAUAUGUAAGGGUGUUUCUGAAGGAGUGGCCGGAAGAAUGUAAACACAAGCAACAAAUAUAGGCUUAAUGGAAGGAAGAUUUUCUGAAAUGAAGGAUGACAUAUGUGAAGCUCUUACUAAUUUGAGAUGCAAAUUGUGUCUUCCAGCACAGGCCAUCUGAAUAAUAAACAAUCCCCAUUCAGUGAGUUCACAUAAAGUUUUUCCCUGAGUCCUGGGAAGCCCACCACAUGACUGGAUGACUCUCUAGGGUAGAGGUCCUGUCCUCUGUGGGUUGGCUCAGGAUUUGAGGUGCAUUGCUUUUAUGGACUUGCACAUCAAUGCCUGCUUGCCUGAUUGUCACGGAAGGGGAAGAGAGUGCUGGAAAUUUGAGCACUGGUCCUUAAAUUGUUCCCCUGGAAGUGCGACUGUCACUUCCACUCAUAUUUUAUUAGCCAAGCAGAUCAUCAAGGAGCUGAAAAGCACAAGUCUUCUGUUUGUCCAGAGAUAAAGGGGAAACAGAUGUUCUGCGAUAGCAAUACCCGCCACAUUUAUCUAGGACAAAUCCUACCAUGUGCAGGACAGGAGAGAAAAGAAAGUUAUUUCCUUUAAGUCUCAUUGGCUUCAGAGCUUUCUGCUGCAACACCAAACAUCAGAAGACAACAAAUCAAUUUCUACAGAGAACAAGGAGCAGCAUCAUCCAAGGCUCUUAAGUCUCACUAUUAUCCUUCCUCUGUGAAGACAACCAGAUGGUGUUACACAUGAUAGAAACUAAUGUCCUUCUUGGAAAGAAAUAAUUUGAAUAUUUACUUCAAUCCACUGGUAGUUACAUUUUUUUAAAGGGCCGACAAAUGGUGGUAGUAAGUACUGGGACAAGUCCAAAGUUUAAAUAAUUAUUGCAUUCUGGUUUAAAAGGUGACCAAAAGUGGUGUCUUUAUCAAAUAAUAUUUUGUAAUUGCUUGUUGUUUGUUCAUAUGUAUGCAACUAAUUUUUGUGUAUGAAUCUUAUAUAUAUCUAAAUUAACAAUCUCUCCUAUUAUUUCUAAUAAUUUUCAUUUAUGAUAUGUAUGUAUUUAGUUGUAAUAUAAAUUAAUAAAUUUAUAUCAAUGUAAUUAGCAUAAAUUAAAACAUGCAUAAAAUGUUAAAUAUUUUACAAGAACAUAUUUAUAUUUUAGUAUGUGCACGUAUAAAAUAUAUAACAUGAACAAAUACUGAAGAGUAAGAAUGUCCAUCCAGAAAGGUGAAAAAAUGUAAAUCAAAUGUAAUUAAUAAAUAUGCUGCUAGAAAAAUAUUUGUAAAAGGAAUGCAUCUAUAUAUUUUUAGGAAUGAAAAACUAGUGGAAAUUACAAAAAUAAAGUAUAUGAGAAAACCUAUGAAUUAAUAUAUUUCUAUAAUUACAUAAUAAUCGAAAUAUUAAUUAGUUGGUGUAUUCGUUUUCCAAGUCUACUGUGACAAAUGAUCACAAACUGGGUGC